rnacentral:rRNA from 1 species
ACCCCACUGCUAUCGAGAUGGGACUAAGGUAUGCUAGUCGAACGACCAGAACUAUGUCUGGAAGUGGCACACUGCUCAGUAACACGUAGCUAACCUACCCUUAGGACGUGGAUACCCCCGAGAAAUUGGGGUUAAUCCGCGAUAGAUGUAAUGUCCUGGAAUGGUAUUACGUCCAAAAGUAUUCCAUACAUGUUUGGAAUAUGCCUAAGGAUGGGGCUGCGGCCGAUCAGGCUGUUGGUGAGGUAAUGGCUCACCAAACCUUUGACCGGUACGGGCCAUGAGAGUGGUAGCCCGGAGAUGGACACUGAGACAAGGGUCCAGGCCCUAAGGGGCGCAGCAACCGCGAAACCUCCACAAUGCACUCACGUGCGAUGGGGCUAUCUCGAGUGCCACCUGAUGAAGGUGGCUUUUCCUAGGUCUUCAAAACCUUGGGAAUAAGAGGGGGGCAAGACUGGUGUCAGCCGCCGCGGUAACACCAGCCCCUCGAGUGGUGGGGAUGAUUAUUUGGCCUAAAGCGUCCGUAGCCGGCCGUGUAAGUCUCCCGUUAAAUCCAGCGUCUCAAGCGUUGGACUGCGGGAGAUACUGUACGGCUAGAGAGUGGGAGAGGUCAGCGGUAUUCUGGGGGGUAGGGGCGAAAUCCUUUGAUCCCCGGAGGACCACCAGUGGCGAAGGCUGCUGACUAGAACACGUCUGACGGUCAGGGACGAAAGCUGGGGUAGCGAACCGGAUUAGAUACCCGGGUAGUCCCAGCCGUAAACGAUGCGUGCUAGGUGGUUGGGUUGGCCACGCGCCACCCCAGUGCCGCAGGGAAGCCGUUAAGCAUGCCGCCUGGGAAGUACGAUCGCAAGAUUGAAACUUAAAGGAAUUGGCGGGGGAGCACCACCAGGCGUGAAGCCUGCGGUUUAAUUGGAGUCAACGCCGGGAAU